GAUGAACGCUGGCGGCGUGCUUAACACAUGCAAGUCGAACGGAAAGGCUCCUGCUUGCAGGGGUACUCGAGUGGCGAACGGGUGAGUAACACGUGGGUGAUCUGCCCUGCACUUCGGGAUAAGCCUGGGAAACUGGGUCUAAUACCGGAUAGGACCACAUUUUGGAUGGUGUGGUGGAAAGUUUUUCGGUGUGGGAUGAGCUCGCGGCCUAUCAGCUUGUUGGUGGGGUAAUGGCCCACCAAGGCGUCGACGGGUAGCCGGCCUGAGAGGGUGUACGGCCACAUUGGGACUGAGAUACGGCCCAGACUCCUACGGGAGGCAGCAGUGGGGAAUAUUGCACAAUGGGCGCAAGCCUGAUGCAGCGACGCCGCGUGGGGGAUGACGGCCUUCGGGUUGUAAACUCCUUUCGCUAGGGACGAAGCGUUUUUGUGACGGUACCUGGAGAAGAAGCACCGGCUAACUACGUG
rnacentral:rRNA from 1 species